UGUUUCAAAAUAAAAUAUUUCCUUAGUAGCUUCAAUACUAUGUUCUAUAUAAACUAUAAAAAC
rnacentral:tRNA from 1 species